rnacentral:tRNA from 1 species
CAUUAAGUGGCUGAACUCUAAGCAAUGGUCUCUUAAACCAUACUAUGGUAUCUAGAAAUACCCUUAAUGA